UCCAGGGCUGUUGAGUCGAACUUGCCCUAUAUGGGAUGCCCCUUACAACGAAUGGGGGUCACAGUAGAGGCUAGGCCAACUAGACCCAUGCUCCUUUGGGAAUGUUGUCAAUGUAGUGACGAAGCCGCGCUUCCAGGGGGGAGGCAAUGCUUGGCAUUAAUGUCAGUAGAUAGCCGAACUGAGAGUAGGCUAUGCCCUUGUAUGGCAGUGAAUAACAAUUGGAUCGC
rnacentral:lncRNA from 1 species